CGAGUGGCGGACGGGUGAGUAAUGUCUGGGAAACUGCCUGAUGGAGGGGGAUAACUACUGGAAACGGUAGCUAAUACCGCAUAACGUCGCAAGACCAAAGAGGGGGACCUUCGGGCCUCUUGCCAUCGGAUGUGCCCAGAUGGGAUUAGCUAGUAGGUGGGGUAAAGGCUCACCUAGGCGACGAUCCCUAGCUGGUCUGAGAGGAUGACCAGCCACACUGGAACUGAGACACGGUCCAGACUCCUACGGGAGGCAGCAGUGGGGAAUAUUGCACAAUGGGCGCAAGCCUGAUGCAGCCAUGCCGCGUGUAUGAAGAAGGCCUUCGGGUUGUAAAGUACUUUCAGCGGGGAGGAAGGGAGUAAAGUUAAUACCUUUGCUCAUUGACGUUACCCGCAGAAGAAGCACCGGCUAACUCCGUGCCAGCAGCCGCGGUAAUACGGAGGGUGCAAGCGUUAAUCGGAAUUACUGGGCGUAAAGCGCACGCAGGCGGUUUGUUAAGUCAGAUGUGAAAUCCCCCGGC
rnacentral:rRNA from 1 species